rnacentral:rRNA from 1 species
CCUGGCUCAGGAUGAACGCUAGCGACAGGCCUAACACAUGCAAGUCAGGGGCAGCACAAGGAGCAAUCUGAGGUGGCGACCGGCGCACGGGUGAGUAACACGUAUGCAACCUGCCUGUAAGCGGGGAAUAACCCGUUGAAAGACGGACUAAUACCGCAUAAUACUAAAUUACUGCAUGGUAAUUUAUUUAAACAUUUAUGGCUUACAGAUGGGCAUGCGCAUGAUUAGCUAGUUGGAGAGGUAACGGCUCCCCAAGGCAACGAUCAUUAGGGGUUCUGAGAGGAAGGUCCCCCCACACUGGUACUGAGACACGGACCAGACUCCUACGGGAGGCAGCAGUGAGGAAUAUUGGUCAAUGGACGAGAGUCUGAACCAGCCAAGUCGCGUGCAGGAAGAAUUGUCCUAUGGAUUGUAAACUGCUUUUGCAGGGGAAUAAAGUGCAUCACGUGUGAUGUUUUGUAUGUACUCUGCGAAUAAGGAUCGGCUAACUCCGUGCCAGCCGCCGC